UACAGAGGAGCCAAGCGUUGUCCGGAUUGACUGGGCGUAAAGCGCACGCAGGCGGAUGCGCGCGUGGGGUGUGAAAUCUGGCCGCUUAACGGCCAGGCGCCAUCCCAUACGGCGCGUCUGGAGUGAUGCAGAGGUCGAUGGAAUUGCCGGUGUAGUGGUGAAAUGCGUAGAGAUCGGCAGGAACACCCAGGGGGAAACCAGUCGACUGGG
rnacentral:rRNA from 1 species